AAACCUACAGUGCACGACCGGACCCCUCCCUCACUCUCUUUUCUUCUUUUCUUCUCAAUUCCCUAUGCAGCCGUGGCCCCUCUUCCCCACCAUCACCACAAUUGUUCAACUGCAGUCACCUUGCAUGCUACCUCCGGUCACCGGACAACCACCGUCUUUCGGAACUAUUUUUGAAGGUCUCUACAAGUUGGUUGGCUCAUUGGAUAGUACUUGGAGAUUAUUGCUUAAUCUUAUGAAGUUUAUGUCUACAAGAGGUUAGAAGGAUGUUCAGGAUUGAUUGCCGGAGGCGUGACAGUGCAGUGUAGUCCGCGUCUAUUAGAUUUAUAUUUCGUGUCUUUAUUAGGAUUUAGACUUGUUAAACUAUUGAAAUUUGACAUAUUUCUCAGUCACCAUUGACUUGAGCUAUUUUGGUUCCGCCGAGGUCUAGUAUUUUUAUUUUAUUGGAUGUUUUGCUACUUUCUUUUGAGAUUGACCAUUGAGGUCUUUAAUUAUCUGAUAGUAUGAAACCGUAUUUUCUGGAGGCUUA